UGCCAGCAGCCGCGGUAAUACGGAGGGUGCAAGCGUUAAUCGGAAUUACUGGGCGUAAAGCGCGCGUAGGCGGCUAAGUCAGUCAGAUGUGAAAGCCCCGGGCUCAACCUGGGAAGUGCACUUGAAACAGCAAGACUUGAAUACGGGAGAGGAGAGAGGAAUUCCUGGUGUAGAGGUGAAAUUCGUAGAUAUCAGGAGGAACACCGAUGGCGAAGGCAUCUCUCUGGGUCAACACUGACGCUCAGGCACGAAAGCAUGGGGAGCAAACAGGAUUAGAUA
rnacentral:rRNA from 1 species